GCAUUGAGCUAGAACUCUUGAUUGCUGCCACAUGGAGUUGACUUUGUAACUGUGGGUUUGCUACUGUCACCUUCCCAGGAGGCACCUGCUGCACCUGAGACCAGGGUGCAUGUGCAAACCCCACCAUUUGCAUAUCUGAUUGAGACUCCACCCCCUUCCUUAUAAAAGGAGGUGGAAAGCAGGAAGGAGCUCUCUUUCUGCCGCGGACCCUGCUUAGGUGUAGCUCUCUCGUUUUGUGCUUGCUGUUUGCCGCAGGCGUAGGUGUCAAAGACUAAGAGUUCCUCUAAUGUUGCACGGAGCACCCUCGGAUGUGCCACGCCUGUGUAGACUCUGCUGCCACAGAGCUCGGACGGACCUUCCUGGCGACAGUCUUGACAAGAGGUGGGAGAAAUCUGGAGGUCUCCACUGAGCCUUCUCCAUGAUGAUGUCACAGAACAAGGACCCAUAUAUGGGGGCUACUCCAACUGCCAAGGCUAAUGGAAGGAAGUUCUAGGAGAGAGAUGCUGAGGGCAUUUCCGGAAUGGACCCCGAAGAGCAGAGCGCCGAGGCCACCACCAGGAAAUACCGGACCAGGCUUUUGUCCUUUCCUUGGGCAAGAGGAGAGGCAAGUUUUCCAAGCACGACAGCAGAAUCAGUCCUGAGUUUCUAAUUUGGGGAACUUUCUCCAAGCUGGAAAAUGUAUUAGAAGUCAAGGUCGAAAUGAGUUUACAUAUUCUACAUAUUUAACAGAUUUUGGAGAACAGCUUAGGGCGCCACGUUUUUCUCUUCGGAGUAGGGCAGCAGAUUGACAAAGGGGCUGUUUCCUCUUGCUCCGCCCUCUGCGGGGGUGGUGCCACCAGGGCUCUGAUCUGACCACGCCUCUUCAGGGAGCCCGGGAAGCCAGCCUCGUGCUUCCUUGCUGCCCGCCUUAUGAGAGCCAAGAGGAGCGGCCAGGGCAGUGCUGCAGAGGGGCACGCUGGCUGGCUGGUUCCCGGGGAUGUCCUGCACUGGCCGGGCCUUGAGAGGGGCUGGCCAGCGCCUGAGGGGCUCAGCAGAGGCCAUGCUAGGAGAGGCCAUGCGUGCUCUUCCAAAGGCCAUUUGCUGAGCAGAGAGCUGACUGCUGACCAGCGUGAAACGGGAGCCGCUAGCAGGCUCUGCAGCUCCCCACGGUCAGUGCCCUGGAACAGGGCCAGGAACAGAGCCGGGAGGACGCGGCUUGUGGGGGCUGAAGGAGGGACACAGGGGAGACUUGCACGUGAUUCUGAGGAUGCUGUUGUUACGCCUGCACGUCCUGGACGCUGAGGUUUGGAUGCCCAGCGUCACGCAUGGAAUUGUCACAGCCCUCCACGUGUGUGUACUGGCCCAGCCCAGCAGGAAGACUGAGUUAGCCCUGAGUGGUACAUCUUCUCUUUGCAGAACUGUGAUGCUCUAAGCCAAGCCAUCACAUGGUUCUAGGGGAACCCAUCUCUUUGGAAUGGGCUCCCCAAAUAGGGACCCUAUGGAAGCCAGAGAAGUUACAACAACAGCAGAAUAGGACCCAGAAUCUAUACAUCUAGAAGAAAAAGAUACUAGUAAAUUGCUGAAAAAAAAAAAAAGAAUCAGUCACUGAGAAAAAUGGAAAAAAGAUGUGAAUAAACAUUUCAGAGAAGAGAAAACACAGGUGGCCACUAAGGAAAAAAUGCUCACUCUCAUUAGCAAGCAGGGAAGUAUGAAUUUGAAAUGUAAAUUGGGGAUAUCAAUUUAUAUUUACUUAAUUGCCAAAAAAUAAAACAGUACAAGAUGUUGCUGAGUCCACAAAGCAGAGAGAAUUCUCCUGCAAGGCUGUUAGGACUUUCAAUCAGAACAAUUACAUCAAAAACAAUUUAGCAUUAAUUAGCAAAGUUGAUUCUGCAACUCAGCAAUUAUGCCACAAAGAGUAUAAUUGCAGGAGUAUGUAUAGUAUCAUUAUUUAUAGUAUUAAACAUUCAGAACAACCCAAUAUAUUCAUCAAUAGCAGAUUGAAUAAGUGCAUUUUGAUAUACUCAUAAAACAGGGCCCUAUGUAUCAUGAAAAUGGAGACAGCUCAGUUCUGUGUAUCAACAUGGAUGAUUUUUUUUCUGAUUUAUUUAUUUAUUUGAAAGAGUUACACAGAGAGAGGAAGAGACAGAGGGAGAGAGAAUCUCCCAUCUACUGGUUCACUCCCCAAAUCGCGAUGGCCAAGAUUGGGCAAGGCCAAAGCCAGGAGCCAGGAGCUUCUGUUGGGUCUCCCCCAUGGGUGCAGGGGUCCAAGAACUUGAGCCAUCUUUCGCUGCUUUCCCAGGUGCAUUACCAGGGAACUGGAUGAGAAGUGGAGCAGCGGGAAUUGAGUUGGCACUCAUAUGGGAUGCCAGAAUUGCAGGCAUGGGCCUUACAUCCCAACACUGGCCCCAACAUGGGUGAUUUUAGAAACAAAGUAAAAACACACAAAAAAGCAAGUCAUAAAGGAAUGUAUCCAAUAUGAUUACCCUUUCAUACGAAGUUGAAUGACAGGCAAAAAUCAGCAAUGUAUUUUUUUUUAAAGAUUUAUUUAUUUACUUGAAAGAUUUAUACAGAGAGA